GACGAACCGUGCGAACGUUAUUCGGAAUCACUGGGCUUAAAGGGCGCGUAGGCGGGCCGACGAGCCAGGGGUGAAAUCCUCCAGCCCAACUGGAGAACAGCCCCUGGGACCGGCGGCCUCGAGGGGUGCAGGGGCAUGCGGAACUCAGGGUGGAGCGGUGAAAUGCGUAGAGAUCCUGAGGAACACCGGUGGCGAAGGCGGGUCUCUGGGCAACAACUGACGCUGAGGAGCGAAAGCGUGGGGAGCGAACAGG
rnacentral:rRNA from 1 species